UACGGAGGAUCCAAGCGUUAUCCGGAAUCAUUGGGCUUAAAGGGUCCGUAGGCGGUCUUAUAAGUCAGUGGUGAAAUCUCUCCGCUCAACGGGGAAACGGCCAUUGAUACUGUAAGACUUGAAUUACUGUGAAGUAACUAGAAUAUGUAGUGUAGCGGUGAAAUGCUUAGAGAUUACAUGGAAUACCAAUUGCGAAGGCAGGUUACUAACAGUAUAUUGACGCUGAUGGACGAAAGCGUGGGGAGCGAACAGG
rnacentral:rRNA from 1 species